AGACGGUUGGCCGAGUGGUCUAAGGCGCCAGAUUUAGGCUCUGGUCCGAAAGGGCGUGGGUUCAAAUCCCACAAUAUUUA
rnacentral:tRNA from 1 species